AUGAAGAUAUAGAAGACAUGCUUAUCAAGUUUGUAGGUGACAGAAAGCUGGAAAAGGGAAUGACUAUGAUUGAUGAUAAAAUCAAGAUUCAAAAUAGUCUUGACAGGUUGGAAUGAUAGGCAUAACCCAAAUGUUCUCUUCUGUGUUUACCUUUAAAAACUCAACUGCCUAAGUACAGAGUGGGGAAAACAGGAUUUGGCACCAAUUUAGGUGAAAAAGAUAUGAGAGUUUUGCUUGUCCAUAGCAGAAGCCAACAAUUUGAUGUAGCUGCUAAAAUCUAAAAAUUCAAGAUCGCAUUGAUAGGAUGGUGCUUUCCAAUUCACAGAAAAUAUGAAUCCCGCUGGUUUCCCAACAAUCAGAUUAUGGCUAGAAUAUUGCUUUCAACGUUGGGCACCCCAAUUUAAGACGGAUGCUGACAAACAGAAAGCCUUAGGACAACAUGGACAAGAAAGGGAGAAGUGGUGUUUGUUUGUUUGUUUGUUGGCACUUCAGCUUUAAUAGUUACAAAGGUUUCAAGAGAGAGGACUAGCGCCACCUGAAAAAGAAAGGCCAAACAUCCAAUAUGGUCACGGAGUCAUGGUUUGCAGAAGUUCAGCUUUGGACUUAGUGAGGAGUGUUGAGGGGUAGCGGUGUCUCUACUUUGAGACCCAAGGCGUUCAUUCUUCCCUGAGAAGUACUCUUCAAGAGACAAUUCAAAGAGCCGGGGAAAUUUGACCUGUUGGCAUUUUAAGGGAGACACAUUAGCUGCCUUCAAAUAUUUGAGAAGUAAUUGUGUACCAGAAAGACAAGAGUUGCUCACUAUGAUUCUGGAGAGCAGAACUGGGAGGAAGCAAUGAGAGAAUGCAGAAGGCAAGCAGGAGGACUUGAUUUUAAGAAAGGACUGCCUCACAACUAGAUUUGCACAUGGGAGAAAUGGGCUAACUUUCAGGGGGAAGCCUGAAGGUUUUCACUUCAGUGUGAAUGACGGGAGAGGAUUCCUGUACAGAAAGUGCGGAGUCGAGGAUGGGACCGUAUACUCCACUCACAUUCUGGGCUAGAGAGGAGGCUGUCUCAACGAAGACUUUACAGUUGUUCUCAUUUGCUCUCCCCAGUGUCUCACAAAGGGUUUCUUCCUUCCCUUCCUCUCUCCCUCCUUCUCUUCCUCCCUCCCUUCCUUUUAAUAGCUUCAUCCACAGCAUAUGGCAGUUCCCAGGCCAGGAAUUGAAUCUUAGCCCCAGCUAUGACCGACGCCACAGCUGAGGCAACACCAGAUCCUUUAGCCCACUGCACUUCAGGCAGGGAUCAGACCUUCACCUCCACAGUGACCAGAGCUGCUGAAGAUUCUUAACCCAUUGUGCCACAGUGGGAACGCCACAAAGGAUCUCUUUACAAACAAGAUGCUUCCCUCUCGCCUUCCUUUUCUAUCUCUAAGCCAAUCUACAUUUACAUGCUUUGCCAUAUACAUAUUAUGAAUCAGUUUUUAAAAACAUCAAGACCUCUAAAUACUUGGGUGUCUUCUGCUGAAAUAAGAGUAAAGAUACCACUAGUGACAACAACAAAGGUCAAACACUUAACUUGUUAAUGUGAGACUCCUUUUUACUAGAGACAUGCACAGUACACAAAAACAGCCAAUAAAAAUUUAUUUUUUGUAUUGAAAAAUGAAACAAAAGGACUCUCUCAAAUUCAGGGGGAAAGAUUCUAAAAUAAUAUGUGGACUCCAGGAAUCCCUAGCAAUGACAAAAGUUAGAGUCUUUUCUUAAAAUCAUCUUGUUCCACUUAUGUUCCUACAACCCUCUCCCUUUAUUUGAUUUCCUCAAUAGGUUUAAAAUAUUUUCUUCAAGGUGACGGGCACCUUGCCUGGAAAUAACUGGCUUCUCUCUAGGGAGGUAAAAGAUCAUUUUGUAAGCAAAAGCUGACAGAUGUGAAUAGCAAUUUUAACCUACAGAAAGAUCAUGGAUAUUUGGGAAUUCAGUCUCCAGUCUUGCUAAAGACUGACAGAGCCUGGGGAAGGAAUGCGGAUUGGAAGAGGACAGAUUUCUGCAGAUCAAGACAACCACAGGAGGAGCUCAUGAAUAUUGAUUCUGGACCUGCUUUCUCUCUGUGGAGAGAAAUGCAGACACAUGCAAUCCAUAUCGCAGUGCCUAGAUACAGUCCAACAGCACGCUGCUGCUUGAUUAUAAACAACUCAUCAAACCACAAUCUAGACAUGUUUCUUCCCUUUCAUAUCAUGUUUCUGAGGAUAGAAUCCAUUUCACACAAUUGUUGGUAGACCCUAUUCUGGGUACUUUUAAGUGAGAGCCGCAGCAAAUAAGGGUGUGCCACAGACUAAGUGCUCGAAAAAUGCUUACUGCAAAAACAUGAA
rnacentral:lncRNA from 1 species